UUGCAGGGGUGAAGGGGGUUUAUCGGAGACACGAGGAACUUGCUCCUGGGUGAUAGUGGCGAACGGAGCGAGUAAUGCGGGACCGAGCUGCCCCAUACAACGGAAUAGCUCGUGGACACCGGUGGGAAUGCUCGCACGCGUCCAGUAUGGAGGCAUGUCCUUCGGGGAAAGAUUCAUCGGUUUGGUAUGGGGACGCGUCCUAUCCGCUCGGAGGGGGCCUAGGAGUCCACCAUGGCUAUCUACGGGUAGCCUGCCUGACAGGGCCACCGGCCACCUUAGUACUGAGCAUACGGUCCAGACUCCUACCGGAGGCUUCACUGGGGAAUAUUGCCCUGUGGGCGCAAACCUGAUGCACCAACACCACGUGCGGAAUGACGGCCUUCGGGUUGUAAACCGCUUUUGACUGGUAGCAUGCCCUUCGGGGUGAGUGUACCUGUCGAAUAAUGACCGGCUAGUGACAUACCAGCAACGGAAGUAAUACGAAUGGUGCCUGCCUUAUC
rnacentral:rRNA from 1 species